UUAGGGUCAAUUUGCCACAAAUUGCAAUCACCUGAGGAGAGAACCACACCUUCCUGAUUGCUUUGAUUGAUAUUAGAAGACCCGCUCUAAUUAUGUGUGGCACCUGCUGGUAGCAUCCCAGAUUGAAAAGGGGGCAGGGCAGAGGGAAGACUGCCUCCCUUCCACUCACUCAGCCUUCCUUCUUGCAGCUGAAUCAGUUUUCCUGCUGCUGCUGAUUCCUUUGCUGAUGAUAGCACCAGCGUUCUGGGCUUCCAUCCCUGACUAAGGACCAGCUGUCCUUUGGGAGCUCCUAGAGCUUUUGAUGCCACAUUGGGACCGCUGAGACACUAGCCUCAUGAACUGAGGGAACUGCUGAAGGUUGUUGGCCUCUCUCUGAUGUGAGGCAGCCUUUGUGAGACUCUCCCAACUACACAGGCAUCCAGACUCAAGGACCAAGCAACUCCCAGAUGUUACAACUUCAAGGCAUUAACAUGCGGUAUUUAUCACACGUGUGUACUAUGCCCCAAAGUGCUUCGAGAUAUCUGAAAAUUGAGAUUGCACUAAAGGAUUCAAAUGACAAGUCCUAAGGAAGAUCAUAAAAGGAAUCUAUUUUGAACAGAGUUUUUUUUUUCCUGAGGUCCUACUGCUUCACCUGAACAUCAUCAUUUGAAGAAUGAGAUCCAGAUGCAAAGUGGCCAGCCAGGCUCUUGCUCCCACCACCAUGCUUUGCCUGUCUGCUGCUGUGUCUUCCCACCCCAAUGGGUUGGAUCCCUCUGGAACA
rnacentral:sRNA from 1 species